rnacentral:rRNA from 1 species
GAUGAACGCUGGCGGUAUGCUUAACACAUGCAAGUCGAACGGACUCUUCGGAGUUAGUGGCGGACGGGUGAGUAACGCGUGAGAAUCUGGCUUUGGGUUCGGGACAACCACUGGAAACGGUGGCUAAUACCGGAUGUGCCGAGAGGUAAAAGAGAAAUUGCCUGAAGAUGAGCUCGCGUCUGAUUAGCUAGUUGGUGAGGUAAAGGCUCACCAAGGCAGCGAUCAGUAGCUGGUCUGAGAGGAUGACCAGCCACACUGGGACUGAGACACGGCCCAGACUCCCACGGGAGGCAGCAGUGGGGAAUUAUCCGCAAUGGGCGAAAGCCUGACGAAGCAAUACCGCGUGAGGGAAGAAGGCUCUUGGGUUGUAAACCUCUUUUCUUAGGGAAGAACAAAAUGACGGUACCUAAGGAAUCAGCAUCGGCUAACUCCGUG